rnacentral:rRNA from 1 species
AACGAACGCUGGCGGCAUGCCUAACACAUGCAAGUCGAACGAGAUCUUCGGGUCUAGUGGCGCACGGGUGCGUAACGCGUGGGAAUCUGCCCUUUGGUUCGGAAUAACAAUUGGAAACGACUGCUAAUACCGGAUGAUGACGAAAGUCCAAAGAUUUAUCGCCAGAGGAUGAGCCCGCGUAGGAUUAGCUAGUUGGUGUGGUAAAGGCGCACCAAGGCGACGAUCCUUAGCUGGUCUGAGAGGAUGAUCAGCCACACUGGGUCUGAGACACGGCCCAGACUCCUACGGGAGGCAGCAGUGGGGAAUAUUGGACAAUGGGCGAAAGCCUGAUCCAGCAAUGCCGCGUGAGUGAUGAAGGCCUUAGGGUUGUAAAGCUCUUUUACCCGGGAUGAUAAUGACAGUACCGGGAGAAUAAGCUCCGGCUAACUCCGUGCCAGCCGCCGCGGUAA